GGCAAACAUUUUCAUUUAAAACUAUUUAAGAAGAUUAUAUAUUUUUUCAAAAUUUAUUAAAAGGAAUAUCCAUCAAUUCUGUUUUUCUCAAGAAGACACACUCGCGAUAAGAAUGAAAUAUUUCACUUCGAUACUCCUACUCCUUGUGGUGGUUUUAAAGGCCGCGGUGUUGCUAAACGCUAGAGUG